UACGGAGGGUGCGAGCGUUGUCCGGAAUCACUGGGCGUAAAGGGCGCGUAGGCGGCCUGAUAAGUAGGGGGUGAAAUCCUGCGGCUUAACCGCAGGGCUGCCUUCUAAACUGUCAGGCUUGAGCACAGUAGAGGCAGGUGGAAUUCCCGGUGUAGCGGUGGAAUGCGUAGAUAUCGGGGGGAAUACCAGUGGCGAAAGCGGCACCCUAGCAUUUUUCUGACGCUCAUGUGCGAAAGCGUGGGGAGCGAACGGG
rnacentral:rRNA from 1 species